CAGGGUCAUUAUUUAUUGUAUAAUGUUUAGUGUAAAAUAAUUACAUUUGCAAUAAAUGUUUAUUUCAAAUUUUAGAUACCAUAUUGUAGUUUCCUAAACCAUUUUGAAUAGAGCAGAAUUCAAUUUUAAAGGUAAUAUUGAGUUUUACAAAGCAAGAGUCAGUUUUAUUAGUAUUACUACAUAUUUCACAAAAAAAGCAAAUAAAUAAUGAUGGUAUUAUGAAUAACACAGAGUCCAUUUAACUCAUGAAUGGAAAAAGCAGGCUCCUGAAAAAGCAUAGAUAGGAUAUAUAGAACUGCUUAACUGCCAAAACAUUUAGUUAAAUAAUAUUUACUCCUAUGAGCAAGAGGCUUAUAUCUCAGUUGGUUAAACAACAUUGUCAAAGAUAGAGAAAAUACAGAAAUAGACAAAAUACAGUUUUUGGUUUCUAAGAUUACAUUUGUUUAACACAUACGGAUUUCAAGAAGCAACAUUCAAAUAUUUAAAACAUAAGCAUGAAACAAUCAAAUAAACCUUAAAUGAAUGUAUCUUCAGUUUCUCAUCUCCUCACCCAAGUGGACCAAAAAUCAUAGUUAAUACAAGUCUAUAACCAGAUAGGUUGCCUAUUUCUUAUCUCCGUCUAAAUUAAUAGCCUGCAACAAGCAGGAGAGAUGGGGAUAAAAUCCAAUUAAUGCCUGUACUGUGAGUACAGAGUUGCACUGAUAUUCAGUAACUUGGGUCACAGAAAUUGCAAUGCAGAAAAUAUAGUCUGAAAGAUAUCAUUUUCUAGUCUUUCGAGCAUUUUCCAUCACAGAAAUUUCAAACUUUCCUCCUUUUUCAAAGCUUGUUCAUUACUGUCAGCAAAUAUAUGGGGUCCACAUAUGAAGAACCUGAGUAUAUUAUGUAUGAUUUCCCUUAUGUAUCAUAUCUCCCACUUUCAACUCCCUGUUUUUACUCUUAAUUACGUCUGUUUCAAAUUCAGAAGAAUCUACUUUGGGUUCAAGGUAAAUAACUCUUCCUGUGCUUUUGUGGCCCCCACUCCCUUCUUUUUACCUAAAACUUAAAUUCUUUCAAAGGUCAUAUUAGGUAAGGAUUUCUGGUUGUUUUCUUUUACAUUGCUGUAUGCUGCGCCUAAAUACCAUAUACAUACGUAUAUAUACAUAUAUACGUAUAUACAUAUAGGUAUGUAUAUGUAAGAGACGUAAGGAAGAAUUGAGACUGUAUGAAGAAACAUGAAAAGGCUGAGAAAGUUUAUACUGAAAAUAAAGUGGAAGAGAGGCAUAUAUAUUGUGUGUGAAACACACACACUAUAUAUAUACAUAUAUAUGUAUAUGUUUCACACACAAUAUAUAUACCUCUCUUCCACUUUAUUUUCAGUAUAAACUUUCUCAGCCUUUUCAUGUUUCUUCAUACAGUCUCAAUUCUUCCUUACGUUUCUCCCUUCUAGAGGCAUCACUAAUCUCUCCUUAUUAUCUUCUUCUUUUAAUGGUAAAAUAUAUAUGCUUCCUUCUGGCUCUUCACCUUAUUCACUCUUUGACCUACUAAACUUCUCUCUUGUCUCCUUAUUCUGCUGAAAUAUACUAAAUUUUUUUAAAUUUGCAAUUAGAUAAUCUCCAAAUCCAGUAGCCUCUUCACAUUCUCUCUGCCAUUUUGUCUUUGCAUGACAAAUUACACUAUUUGCUCUUUUUGCUUUUUUAUUCAUAUUUUACUUUUGAGGUAUAAAAUAUCACUCUGUUCUCAUUUUUUUCUCUCAUUUUGUUCUUUCUCUCUUUCCUUAUUCACUUCCAUCCUUAUAAUUGUUCAUGGAGUGCUCCUGAAAGUUUUCCCUUAAACAUAUUUUUGAAUGCGUGCAUUCUUUUCUUGUGAAAUUUUAUUUCCUGUCACAGCUCUAAGUACUUUAGUGAUGGAUGUUCAUUAGCAUCUACUCAGAUGAGCUCUCCACUAGGUUUAUCUUUUCAUAUAAUGCCCAAGUAAUUGCAUCAGCAAGCACUGCUUCCCACAUUUUAAAACAAAGUGUAUUUCCAUUCCACAUGGCUAAAGAAGUCUCCACAUUAUUUCCAUUUCAUCCAGAUAACACUUUAUUCUGAUUUUAUAUCCCCCUUUCUUAUAAAAUACACAGAGAUGAGAAAACCUUAGCUCCAAGGGAGAAGUUCGUCAGUUAAGGUAAGUAGCAACCUUGUAGGAAAUGCGUUUUUACAGGUGUUUUGAGCCUGGGUUGUAAUUGGAAAAGAGACAUGGAAAUGAAGAGUUGGUCACAUAUCUGAAUCACUUUAUAAAAUGGUCUUUUUUCAACUGCUAUUGGAGCCACCUACAUUCAGGGCUCCCAAAAAAUGCCACACAAGGUUAAAUGUGUUACAGUUUCUGGGUAGUUGUUUCACAUUUAAUAAUCAUUCUGGAAAGAAAUUUGCCAUGCAUCCAUUGUCACACACCAGUAAGUCAGAAAUGUUUGGAUCUUGAUUUUUCAAUAGAAAUCCUGACACAAUAUAAAGUCAAAACCAGUUUCAUAUGGGCUGAUAACAACUUCUUCUUGAAUCAGGAGAAUAAAAAUACUGAAUCAUAAAACUAGGCACAUUCAUUCAGUGGAAAGUUGUAUUUGAUUCCUUUUAUUGAAUAGUUUUUUUGGAGAAAAUGGCUGAUGAGCUUUCUUGGAUGACAAAUACAUCAGAGCAUCUAACAACAACAACAAAAAAACUGAAUGAGAAUGGCUUGAAAAAAAUAAAAGUUCCCCUAAGUAUGGUUGUUUUCUAAACUGUUCAUACUAUGUGUUAUUUGACUUUGAAGACAUUUAUAUAAUUUAUAAAGUAAAAUCAGAUAUGAAUUGAGCUAAAUGUUUCUCUGCUCCUAUUAUUUAUUAUCUGGUAAUGAUAGUGAAACUUCAGGAAAGUCUCACAAAAAAAUAGCGGAAGAAGAGCAGAACAAUGUGUCAUUGAAAACGAAAGGUGUUCUUUCUUUUUAAAUGCCAUCAGUAGAUGAAUUUAUUUCAAAUGCUCAUUUUAAAUAUAUUAUGUGUAAAAAUACCAAACCAAUAUACUUGCAACAAGUAGAGGCAAUUCCAUGUAAUGGAAAGCACACUGGAACUCAAUCACAUAAAAAUUGUUAAGUUUUCUGAUAACUCAAAACCCCUGCAAUAUGUCACUGCUGAGCUACCAAGCUAAAAUGCUCAUAAGUGAGUUUCGCUAUCAAGUGCAGAAAGAAAAGGUGCAAGAUUAUUUUGGUCCUCACAGAAAACAAGGUUUCACACAUCUGACAACACUUUAAUCAGGACACCAAAGCAAAUGUGGUACUGUUGCCAUUUUUAGUUUCACAACUCAUUUGUUAGUGUUGCAAAGGAACAGAGUGUUAUAUAAUAACCAUUUGAUGUGUAUUUUAGGUGUGCAUUAUUCUGAAUGUGGAAGUUCCCUGAUGCAAAAGCUUAGUUAUUCUUCAUACCACCAUCUGGUUGGUGUUUGCCUCAGUGGAAGCUUUCUAUAAUCUGGUUUGAAGUCAGAAAAAUUAUUUCAAUAAGUUUCCUGAAGUUUAGCAUCUAAAGACUGUUGUA
rnacentral:lncRNA from 10 species